ACGGUACUCACGUGAGGGCGAUCCGGUCCGGGGGCUGGGACGGUGCUCCGGUGGCUGGGACGACGUUCUGACGGCGGUGUCCAGAGUCUUGGGUUCAGCCGCGGGCCGGCGGCUGCGUGUGCUGGACUGGAGGUGCGGCGGCUUCGACCACCCCGGGCCGCAGUGUUUGAACCGGCCCGUUCGGUGAGCUGCGGGACUGUUUGUACCAUCGCCCGGUGGGGAAUCGCCUCAGCGCAGAGGGAGAAGAGGGAAGAGACUGCAGCCCUAAGAUUUUUGCCUCCACCACAGUGAGGAGGUGUUUGGAGGACUCACUGUGGUGGAUGUUAAUUUGUGUUUAUUGUUGUUUAUUAUUGUAUCAUUGUAUGUAUGACUGCAGGCACGAAAUUUCGUUCAGACCGUAAGGUCUGAAUGACAAUAAAGGAAAUUCAAUUCGAUUCAAUUCAAUUUCAAUAAGCCGCAUUAGGAAUAAACCCAGCCUGCAAUUCCUAAUCCCCCAAAAGUUCAAAUCUAGACACAAAAUUCUGGAGUAACUCAGCAGGUCAGGCAGCAUCUAUGGAGAAAAGGAAUAGGUGAUCUUUCGUGUCGACACCCUUCUUCAGAUCAGUCUGAAAAAGGGUCUUGAUCCGAAACGUCACCUAUUCCUUUUCUCCGGAGAUGCUGCCUAAUCUGUGUCUAUCUUCAGUGUAAAUUAACAUCUGCAGUUCCUUCCUGCACAAUAGUUCAAAUCUGUUUUCACUCAAUUGCCUAUCACCAGAGUUCCAAAAUAAUACAAAAUCAGCAUUCUAAACCCAAUUCAUGCAAACUUUUAUUAAUGGAAUUGCCAACCAUUUGUACCCAGGAAAAGAUGGGCUCCUGGAACUGUGUAGGUUACUGAUUUAAAAAAAUAUAUAAUAAUGAUGUGCCUCCAUCCACCUUUUGCCUUUGGCUGCAUCUUCAAUGUCCUUGAGUGCGUCCUUCCCAUAUCCAAUGGCGUCUGAUGGAGAGCUGGCACCAGCGUUUUUCUAAUUCCUGACCCAACCACAUUCCCAGUGGCUCAUUUAGUGCAGACUUUGCCUCUGAACACAUUACCACUGUACACAGAGCAGGUGUCUUUGCAGCUGGCUGGGAAACUCACUUGGAGUGAUGGUGCAUCAUUAUCUUUGCCUGGCUGUCCUAGGCUAGCUGAUAAUGAAAAACCUUAAUGGUAGCAAUAUGAUGAGGGAAGGGGUUAAACGAAGAUACAUUCUGUUAGUCCGUCUGCUCUGUAAGACACCAUAUGAUGAGGGUUCAGUGGAAGAUGUGAAAGACACGUAGCUUCAGGAUUCCAGCAGCUAAAGUGUCCACAUCAUGUUAAGCCAUGGACUCUGUAUGUCAACGUUGACCAGCAUUGUCUUCUUGGUAUGAAUUUGGAGUGGUAAUGUGAUGCAGUCAUGUCUUUCCAUUAUCAAUGAGCUGUUCUUGUCAGUCUGCCCUCUCCUCAUUCUCAUCCACUUCACCUCCCAGUACUCUUCCACCGGUCCCUCCUUCUCCUCACCUGCCUGCCACUCCCCUCUCAUCAGCCUAACUCUCCUCACCUGUUGCACUCAGUUGCCUCUGAUCACCUAUUAACCCGGUAUAUAGACUCUCCUCACCGUUCACACAGUGCCAGAUUGUUCUCAGCAUUCAUGCAAGACUCUCCAGCGAUUUCCCGACUGCCUACACGGAUUCGAACCUGCCUGCCACUGACCAUUCCGUCCUGUCGUCUUCCCAGAUAUCACCUCCGCGUUCUGUCCCCGACCUCCUGGUUUCUGUCUGCCUCUCUCCUGGGCUGUUUGGUGUAUCCCUGCAACGGCUCCUCGACUACCUGCCUGACUUCAACUCUCCUUCGUCUGUCCCUCGCUGGUUUGUUUGCAUCAUGUGUUGGAUCUCCUGGUUAUCGGACCUUCCGCUACCCCGACUACGACUCCUGCCUGCCCCUCUUCGGAACCCUCGCUCAAUCCUGAGCCUCUGUGAGUCUAUGACAAUAUCGAUGUGAACCAUACUUGAAUAACAGAUCAGGACUUGAAACGUGCCGGAAGGAAGCAAACAAGCAGUUCUGUCACUAAAUAAUCACUACUGGAAAACAAAUCACCACUGGAAAAUAAAACUGCAGAUGCCAGGAUAUCAAACAAGUACACAAAUGCUAGAAGAACUCGGCUAGUUUGGCACCAUCUGUAAAAUAACAAACAGGUUAGUGUUUCAGAUCAAAGCUCUUAAUCAGAAAAGAGAAAGAAUGAAAGCAAGUAACAGAGAAGGUGGUGAAAGGCCAAGGUUGGACAAAGGGAAUGCUAAUAAUAGGAUGAAAUACGGCAGUAAUGAAAUGGACAGUAAUCUCCUUUGUAGAAAAGGCACUGCAUAUGCUGAUUUACACAAAAGGACACAAAGCGCUGGCGUAACUGAGCAGGUCAGUCUCUGGAGUACAAGGAUAGGGGAUGUUUGUGUCAUGCCACUUUUUAAGACUUAUCUCCCUUUUCUGUGUAAUGUGUUGCUCAUGUUGUGGAGUCUGGUUGAUACUGCUUUGUCUGGCCAACUGGGACAUGUGGACCAGGCCCACAAUGGUACGGCAGUAGAGUUGUUGCCUUGCAGAGCCAGAGACACCUGGCUAAGGGUGCUUGUCUGUAUGGAGUUUGUACGUUUCCCCCCAAGACCUGCGUGGGUUUUCUCUGGGAUCUCUGGUUUCCUGCCACACUCAGAUUUGUAGGCUAAUUGACUUGGUAGAAAUGUACAAUUGUCCCUAGUGUGUGAAGGGUGGUGUUCAUGUGCGGCUAACACUGAUUGGCAUGGACUUGAUGGGUUAAUGGGGAAGUUUCUGCUCUGUAUUUCUAAACUAAACUAAACUAAAGGUCAGAAUAUACAAAUGAAAGAAAAUAAAAAAGGGGGAGAAGAAAAACAAGCACAAAUGGCAUGCCCCGAUACAUUAGAAAAAAAAUGCUCUUUCUCUGAAAAUUGGGAAUUAAUAGUGACUCCUGCAGGUUGCAAAGUGCCUAAAAAAACAAAAUAGGUCUUGUUCUUUGAGCUUAUUUUGGGUCUUGUUAUAUUUAUGCAGGCGGCCACAGACAGAAGUCAGAGUGGGAUGGUGAAUUAAAGUGGCAGGCAACCGGAAACUCAGACUGACUGCAGGGAGCAACCACUGACCUGUUGAAUGUAGAACUUGAUGAAAGAAAGACGGAGUAAUAGGAGGGACAAUUCUACAGUAAACCAUACUCAAGGUGCACUUGUAUCUAAUUAUCAAAUAAUUAAAGACAACAAAUAUUAAAACUGCA